rnacentral:tRNA from 1 species
CCUUCGAUAGCUCAGCUGGAAGAGCGUGGGACUGUAACGGAUAUCUGGCAUCCCAAGGUCACUGGUUCGAUCCCGGUUCGAAGGA